rnacentral:rRNA from 1 species
UGGGGAAUUUUGGACAAUGGGCGAAAGCCUGAUCCAGCCAUGCCGCGUGAGUGAAGAAGGCCUUCGGGUUGUAAAGCUCUUUCAGCCGGAAAGAAAUCGCGCAGGAUAAUACUCUGCGUGGAUGACGGUACCCUUGGAGGAAGCCCCGGCUAACUACGUGCCAGCAGCCGCGGUAAUACGUAGGGGGCAAGCGUUAAUCGGAAUUACUGGGCGUAAAGCGUGCGCAGGCGGUUAUGCAAGACAGAGGUGAAAUCCCCGGGCUCAACCUGGGAACUGCCUUUGUGACUGUAUAGAUAGAGUACGGUAGAGGGAGAUGGAAUUCCGCGUGUAGCAGUGAAAUGCGUAGAUAUGCGGAGGAACACCGAUGGCGAAGGCAAUCCCCUGGGCCUGUACUGACGCUCAUGCACGAAAGCGUGGGGAGCAAACA